rnacentral:rRNA from 1 species
GACGAACGCUGGCGGCGUGCUUAACACAUGCCAGUCGAACGGAAAGGCCCUGCUUUUGUGGGGUUCUCGAGUGGCGAACGGGUGAGUAACCCGUGAGUCACCUGCCCUUGACUUUGGGAUAACUUCAGGAAACUGGUGCUAAUACCGGAUAGGAGCUCCUGCUGCAUGGUGGGGGUUGGAACGUUUCGGCGGUUGGGGAUGGACUCGCGGCUUAUCAGCUUGUUGGUGGGGUAGUGGCUUACCAAGGCUUUGACGGGUAGCCGGCCUGAGAGGGUGACCGGCCACAUUGGGACUGAGAUACGGCCCAGACUGCUACGGGAGGCAGCAGUGGGGAAUAUUGCACAAUGGGCGGAAGCCUGAUGCAGCAACGCCGCGUGCGGGAUGACGGCCUUCGGGUUGUAAACCGCUUUCGCCUGUGACGAAGCGUGAGUGACGGUAAUGGGUAAAGAAGCACCGGCUAACUACGUG